rnacentral:rRNA from 1 species
AAGGAGCUGGUAUCAGGCACGACCGUAAGUCGGCCCACAACACCUUGCUUAGCCACACCCCCAAGGAUCUUCAGCAGUAAUAAACCUUAAGCAAUAAGUGAAAACUUGACUUAGUAAAUAUCAAACAGGGCCGGUCAAACUCGUGCCAGCCGCCGCGGUUAUACGAGUAGGCCCAAGUGGAUAGAAUUCGGCGUAAAGAGUGGUUAAUAGAAUCUUAUACUAAAGCCGAACGCCCUCAAAGCAGUUAUACGCAUUCGAGGGUAUGAAGCCCCACAACGAAAGUGGCUUUAAACACUAUUGAACCCACGAAAGCUAGGGAACAAACUGGGAUUAGAUACCCCGCUAUGCCUAGCCUUAAACAAAAAUAGCUCUGUACCACAAGGAUUCGCCCGGGGACUACGGGCACGAGCCUAAAACCCAAAGGAUUUGGCGGUGCUUUAGACCCCCCUAGAGGAGCCUGUUAUAGAACCGAUACUCCCCGUUAAACCUCACCCUCUCUUGCCCUUCCC